rnacentral:rRNA from 1 species
UGCCAGCCGCCGCGGUAAUACGAAGGGUGCUAGCGUUGUUCGGAAUCACUGGGCAUAAAGCGCACGUAGGCGGAUUGAGUAGUUAAAAGUGAAAGCCCCGGGCUCAACUUGGGAAUUGCUUUUAAAACCAUCAAUCUUGAGUGUGGAAGGGGUAACUGGAAUUCCUGGUGGAGCGGUGAAAUGCGUAGAGAUCAGGAGGAACGCCGGAGGCGAAAGCGAGUUACUGGUCCAUGUCUGACGCUCAGGUGCGAAAGCUAGGGGAGCAAACAGGAUUAGAUA